rnacentral:rRNA from 1 species
GGGGAAUAUUGGGCAAUGGGCGAAAGCCUGACCCAGCAACGCCGCGUGAAGGAAGAAGGCCUUCGGGUUGUAAACUUCUUUGAUCGGGGGCGAACACAAUGACGGUACCCGAGGAACAAGCCACGGCUAACUACGUGCCAGCAGCCGCGGUAAUACGUAGGUGGCAAGCGUUAUCCGGAUUUACUGGGUGUAAAGGGCGUGUAGGCGGGUCGACAAGUUGGAUGUGAAAUGCACCGGCUCAACUGGUGCGCUGCAACCAAAACUGUCGAUCUUGAGUGUUGGAGAGGAUAGUGGAAUUCCUAGUGUAGCGGUAAAAUGCGUAGAUAUUAGGAGGAACACCAGUGGCGAAGGCGGCUAUCUGGACAACAACUGACGCUGAGGCGCGAAAGCGUGGGGAGCAAAC